rnacentral:rRNA from 1 species
UACGGGGGGAGCAAGCGUUGUUCGGAUUUAUUGGGCGUAAAGAGCUCGUAGGCGGCUUGUCGCGUCGGCUGUGAAAACCCGCGGCUCAACUGUGGGCGGGCAGCUGAUACGGGCAGGCUGGAGUUCGGUAGGGGAGACUGGAAUUCCUGGUGUAGCGGUGAAAUGCGCAGAUAUCAGGAAGAACACCCGUGGCGAAGGCGGUUCCCUGGAACGCAACUGACGCUGAGACGCGAAAGCGUGGGGAGCAAACAGG